rnacentral:misc_RNA from 1 species
GAUGAAGAACGUAGCGAAAUGCGAUACGUAAUGUGAAUUGCAGAAUUCAGUGAAUCAUCGAAUCUUUGAACGCAUAUUGCGCUCUCUGGUAUUCCGGAGAGCAUGCUUGUUUGAGUAUCAGUAAACACCUCAACUCCCUUUCUUCUUGAAAUGGAGCUGGACUUGAGUGAUCCCAACGCUUUAUUCAUAAAGUGGCGGGUUACUUGAAAUGCAGGUGCAGCUGGACUUUUCUCUGAGCUAUAAGCAUAUCUAUUUAGUCUGCCUAAAAAACAGAUUAUUACCUUUGCUGCAGCUAACAUAAAGGAGAUUAGUUCUUGUGCUGACUGAUGCAGGAUUCACAAAGACAGCUUCGGCCGACUUUGUAAACUCGAUCUCAAAUCAAGUAAGACUACCCGCUGAACUUAAGCAUAUCAAUAGCGGAGGA